CGAACGGGUGAGUAAUGNGUGACCAACCUGCCCCAUGCUCCAGAAUAGCUCUUGGAAACGGGUGGUAAUGCUGGAUGCUCCAACUUGACGCAUGUCUUGUUGGGAAAGUGUUUAGUGGCAUGGGAUGGGGUCGCGUCCUAUCAGCUUGUAGGCGGGGUAAUGGCCCACCUAGGCUUCGACGGGUAGCCGGCCUGAGAGGGCGGACGGCCACAUUGGGACUGAGAUACGGCCCAGACUCCUACGGGAGGCAGCAGA
rnacentral:rRNA from 1 species